rnacentral:rRNA from 1 species
CCAGCCAUGCCGCGUGCAGGAAGACGGCUCUAUGGGUUGUAAACUGCUUUUACUCGGGAAGAAUAAGGGUUACGUGUAACCCGAUGACGGUACCGAAAGAAUAAGCAUCGGCUAACUCCGUGCCAGCAGCCGCGGUAAUACGGAGGAUGCGAGCGUUAUCCGGAAUUAUUGGGUUUAAAGGGUCCGCAGGCGGACAGGUAAGUCAGUAGUGAAAAACCGGGGCUUAACCCCGGUCGUGCUACAGAAACUGCCUGACUAGAGAAAGUUUGGCGUUGGCGGAAUGUGACAAGUAGCGGUGAAAUGCAUAGAUAUGUCACAGAACACCGAUAGCGAAAGCAGCUGACGAAGACUAUUCUGACGCUCAGGGACGAAAGCGUGGGGAGCAAACAGGAUUAGAUACCCUGGUAGUCCACGCAGUAAACGAUGGGUACCAUCUUUUUGUCCGCAAGGAUGAGAGGAUCAUCGAAAGAGAUAAGUACCCCACCUGGGGAGUACGUGCGCAAGCAUGAAACUCAAAGGAAUUGACGGGGGCCCGCACAAGCGGUGGAGCAUGUGGUUUAAUUCGAUGAUACGCGAGGAACCUUACCGGGGUUUAAAUGGGAUCUGAAUAAUCUGGAAACAGGUUAGCCGCAAGGCAGAUUUCAAGGUGCUGCAUGGUUGUCGUCAGCUCGUGCCGUGAGGUGUUAGGUUAAGUCCUGCAACGAGCGCAACCCCCAUGAUCCGUUACUAACAGGUGAUGCUGAGGACUCAGAUCAGACUGCCGGCGUAAGCCGCGAGGAAGGAGGGGAUGACGUCAAAUCAUCACGGCCCUUACAUCCCGGGCCACACACGUGCUACAAUGGCCGGUACAGAGAGCAGCCACUUCGUGAGGAGGAGCGAAUCUUAAAAGCCGGUCUCAGUUCGGAUCGCAGUCUGCAACUCGACUGCGUGAAGCUGGAAUCGCUAGUAAUCGCGCAUCAGCCAUGGCGCGGUGAAUACGUUCCCGGGCCUUGUACACACCGCCCGUCAAGCCAUGGAAGUCUGGGGGACCUGAAGACGGUAACCGCGAGGAGCCGUUAAGGGUAAAACAGGUAACUAGGGCUAAGUCGUAACAAGGUAGCCGUAUCGGAAGGUGCGGCUG